UACGGGGGGGGUAAGCGUUGUUCGGAAUUACUGGGCGUAAAGGGCUCGUAGGCGGCCAACUAAGUCGGACGUGAAAUCCCUCGGCUCAACCGAGGAACUGCAUCCGAUACUGGCGGGCUUGAAUCCGGGAGAGGGAUGUGGAAUUCCAGGUGUAGCGGUGAAGUGCGUAGAUAUCUGGAGGAACACCGGUGGCGAAGGCGGCAUCCUGGACCGGUAUUGACGCUGAGGCGCGAAAGCUAGGGGAGCAAACGGG
rnacentral:rRNA from 1 species